rnacentral:rRNA from 1 species
UACGUAGGGUCCGAGCGUUGUCCGGAAUUACUGGGCGUAAAGAGCUCGUAGGUGGUUUGUCGCGUUGUUCGUGAAAACUCACAGCUUAACUGUGGGCGUGCGGGCGAUACGGGCAGACUUGAGUACUGCAGGGGAGACUGGAAUUCCUGGUGUAGCGGUGGAAUGCGCAGAUAUCAGGAGGAACACCGGUGGCGAAGGCGGGUCUCUGGGCAGUAACUGACGCUGAGGAGCGAAAGCGUGGGGAGCAACAGG